CUAGGGAAAACUGAAGAUGAGUGACAGGAAAUGCUUGAUGAAGCUGAUGGGGAUGGGGAUGGAGAGGUAAUGGGGGAAGAAUUCUUGAGGAUGAUGAGGAAGAGCCUUUAUUAGCUCUGCUUUGUGCCUUCUAGGAAGCCUGCACAACUUGCCUGUUAAGCAGUUCAAUAAUGGAAUACCUGAGUGUACCCAGUUCUAUUUUUACUUUAGGUUAGUCUCUUGGUGUUUAAUCUGUGCCAGAAGUUAUAUGUUCCUACCAAUGUUAUUAAAUCUGUAGUAGCAAGGAAAAAAACGACUUAUUUGGACUGUGAACCCCAAAACAGUAUUUCCACAUGGUAUUUUUAAAGCUGUAGAUUCCAAAGAUACUUAACCUUUAUUUAUCAGUUGGACCCCUCAGAUCCAGAUGAAAUUGUUUUUUUUUUAAAUUAAAAACAGUAUUUUUCCAUUAUUUCCUUUUAUAUGACUUUUAAAAAACCUGAUAACAUUUUUUUUAACGACGUCCUCAAAUAUGUAACGUGUUAAUAAAACUGGGUGAGGGGUACAAUGUUUCUAAAAAAAAAGAAGAAA
rnacentral:lncRNA from 1 species